CAGCUGUCUCACAGAACAGCCAUUACCAAGCACCACUGCGGCUGGCUGCCUUUGACAGAAGAGGGAGGAACAGGCUGCGUCUGUGGUUGUGUAGACUGCACUCUGCGGGGUCGUGAAGACAGCCAGUGAAUGAAUCGAGCGAGAAGCAGAUUUCAGAGAAUGAGUACAGCCAUUGGCAGAAGAGCCUCAGGUCAGUGCCAGCCCGGGGCACGUGAGGGGGCCUGGAGGAACACGGAGGCGUGGCUCGCCAUUGCUGGGAGUGGCCGGGGUCCUGGCCGAGCUUCCAUUCAGAGCGCAGCAACGGGAAACACUGCGGUAAGCCGUAAGGUCAGGAAGGG
rnacentral:lncRNA from 1 species